rnacentral:rRNA from 1 species
AACGAACGCUGGCGGCAGGCUUAACACAUGCAAGUCGAGCGCCCCGCAAGGGGAGCGGCAGACGGGUGAGUAACGCGUGGGAAUCUACCCAUCUCUACGGAAUAACGCAUGGAAACGUGUGCUAAUACCGUAUACGUACUUCGGGAGGAGGAUUUAUCGGAGAUGGAUGAGCCCGCGUUGGAUUAGCUAGUUGGUGGGGUAAAGGCCUACCAAAGCGACGAUCCAUAGCUGGUCUGAGAGGAUGAUCAGCCACACUGGGACUGAGACACGGCCCAGACUCCUACGGGAGGCAGCAGUGGGGAAUAUUGGACAAUGGGCGCAAGCCUGAUCCAGCCAUGCCGCGUGAGUGAUGAAGGCCCUAGGGUUGUAAAGCUCUUUCACCGGUGAAGAUAAUGACGGUAACCGGAGAAGAAGCCCCGGCUAACUUCGUGCCAGCCGCCGCGUAAGAC